rnacentral:lncRNA from 1 species
UAGGAAGACAUUGAUAAACUAAGGAUUUUAUUUUUUUAUUUUUUCUUAUUUUAUUAUUUCAUAAAAUAUUUGACAUCCCAAAAUUCCUUAUUAAUCAAAACUCUGAAAUGCAAUUCAAGCUCCAGUCUUGCAUAGACAAAGUUGAGGUCCAAAGGGCGUAUCUGGAAUUGUACACCUGCCCCCACUAUAACCAUCUGUUUUGCAAAACUUGAUGCACUCUUCAUCCGACCUACAACGUCCUAUAACAACAUAGUCAUUAACUCCAUCGAAGCCUUCGAAGCCUGCUACUGAAAAUUCAGAAAAAUUAAAAAUAAAAUUGCUAUACUUGGGGAAAUGGGAAAUGAAACAAGGGAAAUGGAAUAUAAAUUUACCUAAACUCUUUUCAUGGGAAGACAUGAGCAAUGUUGUGCAAAAAACUCCAAUGAAAAGGGUUGUUCUGAGAGAAUCCAUUCUUGUGUUGUGUGUGAAUUGGAUGAACACAUUUUGACCUAUACAUUAUCUAUAAAUAAAUGGUCUUUGCCCUUCAUAUUGAUUACUCCAGCUAAUACUGAUUCAUUCAUUUAUAGUUAUUUAUAAAUGAGCAGUUGACUACUAUGGGUUUGUUUGGCAAGAGAUUUUCAAAGUUAAAAGUGAGUUUUAAGACUAAGAAUCCAUUCUUGUGUGUUGUGUGUGAAUUGGAUGAACA